UUCAGUUUCUCUUAUAAGAGCCAAUUCAUGAUGAAGUGACAAGUUAUGCUAAACGUUUAUACAAAUAUGCAAGACGAGAAAACUGUAUCUGACCAUGAUAAGGAAAGCACGAGCAAAACGAACAAUGAUGGAUAUCCAAAGGCGGCUGAAACUCAGGCAUGGGUCAAAUCGAAAAAGGAAAAAGGAAAAAGCUGCUGUUCACUUCGAAGAUGUUUUGCUGCAAUCGGCUGUUGUUGUACGGUGAAGAAAAGGACGAAAAUCAAAAACAAAAUAGACAGCGAUAAAAAAUCUCUUACUUCUCAAGAAGUAAACGAAUUUAUUGAAGAGGAAAUGAAAAAGCUGUCAGAAGAAACAAUCAACCUAGAAAGUUAAUAACCAUUGGGAUGUUAC